UAUUGCUAUGUCAAUUGCACCAAGGGACUUUCAUGAAGCACAAGUUCAAUUUGCUUUGGAAAGAGGUGUUCCAGCAAUCAUUGGUGUUCUUGGAACAAUAAUGCUUUCCUUCCCGUCCGGAGCUUUUGAUAUGGCACAUUGUUCUCGCUGCUUGAUUCAAUGGGGUUCAAAUGAUGGAAUAUACAUGAAGGAAGUGGACUGGGU
rnacentral:sRNA from 1 species